CCUCCAUACUCUAGCUAAUCUUGUAAAGCUACCAGGUGUGGGUUGCAAUCAUUUGUAGGUCUACAGAUCUCACAGAUUUCAUGAUUCAACACCAGUGAAGACUUCUUCAACUUGGAAGCUGCAACAGUUAGCUGGAUCUAGAGGUUGAAUUCCUGAGGAAUUGAUACCACUGUUCAAGACUUAUAAUUUUCGGAGUACUUCAUUUAUAGCACUGAGAGUGUGUGACUUUUCUAAUUGAAUUAUUGGUUUGGCCUGUUGUGGGAGUUUUUGAUAUGUAU